UUGUAGCUCUUAAAAGUCUUAACUGUGUACCGAUAAAAGUGUCACAUAAUUAAAGAUUCAUCAUUCCAUUUGAGCCAGCUUUCGUGAAACGAGUUACAUCUAUGUAGUGCGAAAAGAUUUGCCUUCGUAUUGUUACGGAAACGUACGAACGUGGCAUGCUAUUUCAGUCAGUCUCAGUACAAGAUGUACUGACAUUGACUGAACUAGCAUGAUAAAUACGAACAUUUCCGGAAAAACGUACGGGUUUUUUCAUAAAUCUACGGUCGCGCUGGCACUGAAUGUGUUAAUAAGUAGUAUCGGCCCAAGUGGCCAAAUAUGUCGGGACACAGAUAUUUGACCACGUAUGCAGUCGCUGUCUGUUUCACUGUACUUUUGGCGUUAAACAUGUUUACAUAUUUACCCUACCCAAUUCCUUUAAGGCGGUAAGUUGAUCUAUGUCUUGACCGUCCAUUGUACCCAAGUGACAAUUGACAAUCUUUAGCGUCUGUUUCUCAAUAGGGAAUAUUACACAAAACUUUGUAGGGGGCGCCACGAACACACGGGAAACAAACUCUUAUGUUACUCUAUGAUUUAGUUUUUUGAAGUGCUGCGCUCUGGUGGUAAAACUUUCCAGUAAUACUCCCUAUUAAGUUCAAUCCAAAGUCUUAUACUGAAUAAAGGGUAUCUAUUAAUGAUUCAGUUAAUGUAUAAACCUCAAUUAAUUACAAUUAAUGAAACCUUAACCAUUUUAUGAUUCCGAAUAAAAAACAUGCCUGAGAAUUUAUUUGGACUUAUGUUAAAAUAAUAAAAAUGCCAUCAAAUGGAAUCGCAAGGCAAUCGUGCCGAUAUCACAGCUCGGUGUUACGUCAUAAGCAUCAUAACACAUCCAUAUUUUGUUGAGUUGCACCCUAUGGCCAUGAAGAUGGGUCAUGUGGGCUAUAAAUGGGCCAUACCCGUGUGCCCAUCCAGGGUAAUGCGACCAAAUCAAUAACACGUUUGAAGAUCUUUCACAUCAUGCCAAACACAACCUACGUAGUUUGGUCGGGUUCAUCAUUGCCCACCAGGAAACCAGCGAAUAACAUGCGUCUUCUCUUAAAACUUUAGAAGUAGGCAGAAAGAAAAAGUAAGAGAUUGACAAGGAAACAAUAUUAUAACACUUUCUCAGCUACUCUCACUGAAUGUUCUAUAAGACAUCUCGUUCGAAAUUAUCGACUCCCGUCCGUAGCAUAGAGAAAUAAGUAAGAAUAGAGCGCUCACUCAUAUCAAUUUCUGUACCAAAAUCAUUGUUAUUUUAGCCGUCAUUUAACAUUAGUCUAGGAGUAAGCCCUUCCUUAUUUAUCUAUGCCAGUAUAUACUAGUAUUUACAUGGGCUCAGCUAUGCACAUCACUUGUCUGCGGCGGUCAAAGGGCUCCGAAAUGUGUGAAGAUACAAUCAGACAGCAGGCCUGGUCUGCGGCAGGCACAGGUUGCAGUGAGCUGUCUUGUUCCAGAAGUCUGCCUUCUUCCACCUACACCAGCCCUUAGAGACGACAGUAGACGGGUCGAGUGUGUGUUAGGACUAGUUGAUCAGACAGCAGGCCUGGUCUGCGGCAGGCAGAGGUUGUAGUGGGCGGUCGUGUUCCAGAAGUCUGCCUUCUUCCACCUACACCAGCCCUUAGAGACGACAGUAGACGGGUCGAGUGUGUGUUAGGACUAGUUGAUCAGACAGCAGGCCUGGUCUGCGGCAGGCAGAGGUUGCAGUGAGCUGUCUUGUUCCAGAAGUCUGCCUUCUUCCACCUACACCAGCCCUUAGAGACGACAGUAGACGGGUCGAGUGUGUGUUAGGACUAGUUGAUCAGACAGCAGGCCUGGUCUGCGGCAGGCAGAGGUUGUAGUGAGCGGUCUUGUU